UCCUACGGGAGGCAGCAGUGGGGGAUAUUGCACAAUGGGGGAAACCCUGAUGCAGCGACGCCGCGUGAGGGAUGAAGGUCUUCGGAUCGUAAACCUCUGUCAGCAGGGAAGAACGGUCACUGUGCUAAUCAGCAGUGAAUUGACGGUACCUGCAAAGGAAGCACCGGCUAACUCCGUGCCAGCAGCCGCGGUAAUACGGAGGGUGCGAGCGUUAAUCGGAAUUACUGGGCGUAAAGCGCUCGUAGGCGGUAUGUCAAGUCAAGGGUGAAAUCCCCGCGCUCAACUGGGGAACUGCCUUUGAAACU
rnacentral:rRNA from 1 species